AUGGGUGAGAGGCAUUUGGCCUACAUCUCCACAACAAGUGAGAGAACACCUGCAACAAGCAGCCUCUGGCCAUUCUAACUAACCUUAUGCCUGGAUUCUCUACUCUGUUAUUCUGGUUUUAGUUACUUAGGAGCUGAUAACAUUGCAAUUGAAUAGAACUUGUGCACCAGAAUGGAGAGUUACAUGUUGUGCUUUGAGUCACUCAAAAUGUUGAUCAGUGUUAGUGCUGGCUUGAGUUUGGAGCAGUUACAUGUUCAAGCUAUCAGGGGCCUUAAGGACUGAAAGGUUACCAGAGGACUCUACUGCAUCCUUUUGGAUUCAUAUUCAACAGGUGGCCUCCAUACAAGCCUGUUGGCGAUUAUGUAUUGUACCUAUGAAUGAAAUGAGAGAUGUCUAGAAGCUUCAGCGACUUAAGAAGAGGAGGUGAAACCCACGCUGUGAAUCAGAGUUGGAACACCAAUAAGUAAUUCCACCACCUCCAGAUGCAAGAUCAAGGGCAUUCCAGCUGACACUGCAAUUUUUCUGCAUAUCUGCUCCUGCCAGUUACUGGAAUCAACGUAAGGCAAAGCUUGGAUGGGGAUUUCCCAUUCUGCUAAACAAAAUACUCUGUAUAGCACUAUUCAUUAGAAAUAUAUAUUUAUGUUCAUGCUUUUCCCUUCAUGGUAUAACAACAGCAACAUAUAAUCAAUUGAGUUUCUUCACAGUUCUUGCAAAGUCAGACUCAGCCCAUGGUUACUUCUAGAAACACAUUUGUUUUAUAAGUAGAUUACAAUAAAUCUCCCCUCUCCCAGAUUGACAAAUUAUGUAUUGGCAAUAGUGUUUCAGAUCAAUUUCAAUGCCCUCAACCUUUUUUUAAGCUUUCUGUUAUUUUUUAGAUUUAGGGGAAACAUACCCGCUUGGAUUUACCAUAAAACUAUCCCAUUUUUUCCCUGCAUGCAUAGAAAAAAGAAUGCAUAAUAUUUUAUAUUCACAUAUUUUUAGAAGGUAAAUUUGCAAAAUAUACCUUAUAUAAUAAAUAGGAGUAAGGAACAUAGGAUGAUAGAAAAUAGGGGCUGGAAGGGACCUCAUGGGGUCCUCUAGUCCAGCCCCCUGCUCAGGGCAGGAUCAUCUUUGACUAAACCUUCCCCACCAAGCGUAUAUCCAAUCUGUUCUUCAAAAUUGCCAAGGAUGGAGAUUCCAUAAUUUCUCUAGGCAUCCUGUUUCAAGGCUUGAGCACCCUCAUAGUCAGGAAGCUAAUCCUAAUCUUCAACCUAAAUUUCCUCUGCUGCAUUUUAAGGACAUUGCACAUAGUCCUGUCCCCUGUGGCCACAGAGAAUAGUCUAUUUCCAUCCUUUUUGUAGGAAUUCCUUUAACCUAGGUGAGGUGAUUAGUGGAGUAGGAGGGGGAGAACACCUUUCAGGUAUUUGAUUACUGUAAUCAACCCCUCCCCCUCAGUUUUGUCUUCUGCAGACUAAAUAACCCUAGGUCUUUCAGGCUUUUCUCAUAAGUCAUGCUUCUCAGGCCCCUAAUUUUUUUGUUGCUGUACACUGCAUUUUGUUCAAUCUGUCUGCAUCCUUUCUGAACUGUGAUACCCAAAACUGCAUACAGUACUUCAGUUGAGACCUCAGAAGUGCUGAAUAGAGCAGAAGAAUCAUUUCCCUUGAUUUGCAAAUGACACUCCUACCAAUACAGACUAGUACGCUGCUGGGUCAGAAGGUAGUGAAUCUCAGAAUUUUAUAAAUGGGGAAUUAGCAUAUUGUUUUCCACUCAAAGAGGAGGCCCUACUGUUUUGGUUUUUUUUCUAUGUUUAUGUUUCAUUAUGUUUACAUUUAUUUUCUGUAUGUUUUAUUCAUUAACCACAUGAAAUACAACAUCAAACAUGUCAUUUACGUAUCAAACAUGUCAUUUACCUAUCCUGUUUUGCUAAAUAAUAUCAUUAGUAGAUAAGAAAUAGGAAUAAAAAUGCUACAGUUCCCUUAUAAAUUAACAUAUUAUGUUUAUUUAUACUUAGUGUAAGAGUGGUUUAAACUUGAUCUUAGUCCAAGGAGGAACUUCUUUCAAUCACAUUUCUUGAUCUCCCAAUUGUGGGGAGAGAAGGUGGAUUGACAAAAACGUACGAGGAAGUUUAUUUUUAAAGAUUUAGGCUUCUAGGGUGCCUGUACAAGAGCUCUGCUGCGAAAUGGGGGGUGGUGUUUUAAUUAGAGAAGCUCUCAGAAGCUGCUCUAAUUCAAAUGCCCACAGUGUCUUGUGUAUUCAGCAUUCCACAUUUCAAAAUGGUGGUGGGGCACUUCAAAUAAAGCUUGUUCAAUGAGCUUUAGUUAAAGCACCCCCACUGCCACUUUGAAACACAGGACACAAUACAGGAGAUGCUGCAGCGCAUUGGAGCAUUCUGAUUUGAACACAUCAGAGAGGACUUGAUUAGUCAAGUCUCCUUCAAUGUGUUUGAAUUGGAACACAUCAGAACAUGUGUAAAAGUGCUGCUAGAGACUAUGUUGCCAACCAGGACUGCUCCUAGGCCUACCCUCUAGCCCAGACUAACUGACCUGACCAUCCACAGUAGUUUUCCACCCUGUCCCUAAAACAGUCCAGCCUGUCUCCAAACGGUUUCUUGAACCUCAAAAUUCAAAGUUGAGUUUCUACAUGGAGUCCCAUUCUCCCCUCCUCCCCCCCACCUACCACACUAAGAAUCAGGAGAUCCUUAAGCUAAAGGAACCCCUACAUUUUUCCUCCCUAGAUACACUUUUUGGAUCCUGGGCCUAAGAGGGAAAGAAAAAAUGUUUUCGAUUUAUUUUACAUCAUUGGACAUUGGCCACUGGCUGGAGCUAGAGUAGGAUUUUGGCUAAGAUAUUUUGUUGCUCCUUAUGGUACUAAGAACAUCUCGGAUAUCUAACUCAUGGGUCUGGUACUUAUUGCCAGGUCAGGAAGGAAUGUUAACCCCAAGGCAGUGUGUCAUGAACAGAGGAGGAGUUUUCCCUUUCUAGUUUGGGACAUGGUCUUCUUCAUGGAAUAUGUCAGCACAUUUUUACCUAUCUGUUUUUCUGCCCUUGUAGUGGCAGAGCACUAGCAAUGGUACAUAUCUCCUGUUCUGUAAUGGUGUCAUGUUGUGGGACAUUUUAUAGGACCUUUACUGGCUAUGCUGUGUAUCAGUAGUCAGAAGAGAUAUUCUUGUGGACCUUUUUGGAUAGAUGUUUUCCUGUAAAUGAGGGCGGCAGGAGUCAGUAAUCCAGGAUCUCACUUUCAUUCCUCUGUUCUUAUAGUCCUGAAGACUGAGGAUAUAGGAAAUCUGCUAGCACCUACCUUCAGACUAUUUGCUACCCUACUUUCUGUCUCUACUGCCCAUAAUCAGAGCAGGGAAGAUAGGGGGGACAAAUAGUGGUAUGACUAGGUCCUAGAAGGUUGUAAAGUAUAUAAAUGAAGACUGGAUCAGGCCCACAAACCAGUCCCAUAUACCAGAGCCAGUGCACUGCAUGCAGCAAACACCAGACCAGCUUCUUGUGCCACUUGCAAUGCAUGUGGCUUAGGCUGGUGAAUGCUGCAUGCAGUAUGUGGGGUUGGUCAGAGACCUACAGGCCAGAUCAUAAGGCUUCAGAGGCCAGAUUCAGCCCAUGGGCCUCAUCUUUGACACCCUAGUAUAAACAGAAUAUUGAUAUAAAAUAAAACUUGCAUUCUAUGUUAAAAGUGAACUUUAAAGAAGCAAACCUAAAAGCAAGCUUUAAAGAAGCCUUAUUGAUAGUGCAGGAGCUCACCACCCCAAUGCGCAGGAAGAUUUUCAAGUAUGGCAGAAGACCAGCUUGCUGUAGCAGGGAACUCUUUAGUAAACUAAAUUUAAAAAAAGGAAGCUUAUAAGAAGUGGAAACUUGUACAAAUACCUGGGGAAGAACAGAAGAGCAUUGCUCGGGGAUGCAGGGAUGAAGUCAAGAAGACCAAAGUGCAAUUGGAGCUGCAGCUAUCAAAGGAUGUGAAGGGUAACAUGAAGGGUGUCUACAAGUAUGUUGGUAGCAAGAGGAGGAUCAGGGAAAGUGUGGGUCUGGGAUACUGGAGGAAUACAAUGAUAGAAAAUUAGUGUUGGAAGGGACCUCAGGAGGCCAUCUAGUCAGUAAGGACUGAACGGGGGAGGCAACCUUGUUUCAGGGUGAUGCCUGACCAACUCGAUUGCCUUCUGUGAUGAUAUGGCAUCAAGCUGAGGGGAGGGGGAGAUACACUGGAGGGUAGGGCUAGGAUUCCAAGUAACCUAGAUGAAUUGGAAGAUUGGACAAAAAUAAAUCUCAUGAGGUUCAACAAGGAUAAGUUCAAAGUCCUAUACUUAGGAUGAAACAACCCCAUGCAUCAGUACAGGCUGUGGGCUGCCUGGCUGGGCAGCAGCUCUGCAGAAAAGGACCUUGGGGGUUACAGUGAACAAUAAGUUGAAUAUGAGCCAAUAGUGUGCCCUUGUUACAAAGAAUGCUAAUGGCAUACUGGUCUGCAUUGGUAGGUGUGUUGCCAACAGGUCAAGGAAAGUGAUUAUUCCCCUCUAUUCAGCAGUGGUGAGGCCACAUCUGGAGUACUGUGUUCAGUUCCCCCCCUCCCCCCCCAAGAAAGGAUGUGGACAAAUUGGAGAGUCCAGUGGAGGGCAACAAAAAUGGUGAGGGAGCUGCGGGACAAGACAUACAAGGAAAGACUGAGGCAACUGUGCUUUUUUAGUCUAGAGAAGAGGAGACUGAGAUGGGAUUUAAUAGCAGCCUUCAACUACCUGAAGGGGGUUCAAAAGACAAUGGAGCUAGACUGUUCUCAGUGGUGGUAGAUGACAGAACAAGAAGCAAUUGUCUCAAGUUGCAGCAAGGGAAGCUUAAGUUAGAUAUUAGUAAGAAUUUUCUUACUAGGAGGGUAGUAACACACUGGAACAGGUUACCUAGAGAGGUGGUGGCAGCUCCAUCCUUGGAGGUCUUUAAGACCUAGCUACCCAAACCUUUGGCUGGGAUUGAUAUAGUUGUGCAUGAUCCUGCUUUGAGCACAGAGUUGGACUAGAUAGCCUCCUGAGGUACCUUCCAACCCUAAUUUUCUAUGAUUGUAUUUCUCCAGUAUCCCAGAAUUCAGUGGCCUCUCCUGACACAUGGCAAAUGGGGAUGCAUUGUGCUGGGCCCUGCUGCACCCCAACAUCACCCCUCAGAGAACGUGGGCAUAGCAAGUGCCACAGGCCCAGAGGCACCCAGCAGCUGUAGUGUCGCCACCACGACCUGGACCAGCUGUUUUCCUGCCAGUGGCUGUGUUUGUGUGUGUGUGGGGGGGGGGGGGGCACCACCUAUGCUCCUGAGAAAAAAGGAUAAGGCCCCUCAGAGCUCAGAGUGAACAAGGCCUCCAGGCUUAAGCCUUGAUAGUCCUGCUGUCAGCAUAAAGCUGCUGCAGCUUGACCAGACCACAAAAUCCCAUGGAAGCAGCUUGCUAUCAUAAUGCUGCAGCUGCUCUGUGCUGAGAACAGGUCUGCCAGGGCUUAAACCCAACAGCCCCACUCUCAGUGUGGAGCUGCUGUGGCAUUUUCAGUAAGAUCAGAGAGCCCUGUGACUUUCUGGGUUUACUUCAACUGACAUAGUGGUGGGCCUGCUCUCUGCUGGGUGGAAGCAGAGAGCUGAUAAUGAUCCUAGUCCUGCCCCUGUGUAGAAAAAAAUUGCAUGGGUGUGGCAAGGCUCAGUGCAAGCCAGAAAGCUGAAGUGGCUUUCUGUAGGAGCAACCGAAAAAAUACAUCUACAUAUCAAUUAAUCUCAGUGUCACUAAAGAAAACAAAAUAACUAAAAUAUCCACUGUAAAUAUAUCCUGGUGCUAACUGACUUACUGUCCCCAGUAGCCUUUGAUCCUCACUACUUCACAUUGCAUUUUUAUAUAUUUCUAACAGUGCAUUUUCAUGUUUCAUCUGUCUCAUCUUUACCAUGGCAUUUUGUAUUUUAUAUUUUAUACUUUUAAACUCUGAAGGAGUGUACUCCCUAUAGAAUGAAUUUAUACCCUGGAGCAUUGUUAAAACUGCAUUGAAAUUGUAAUUGUAAAGUGAUAAAAUCUGUUGAGUGAAUGCGAGUGAAUGAUGAUCAUCAGUAGACAAUAGCCUAGCCAAAGGAACUCCAUUUUAAGCUAAUCAAGCUAAAGAACUGAUUUCUGGAACUAAGCACUCACCCUAUGGACUAUUCCUGUAAUCCAUGACAAUACAGCCAUUAAGUCAAUAAGUCAAGGGUGGACUCCCGAAAUUUCAGGUACCAGCAGGCAGAGACCCCUGUGACUAGCAGCUGUCAGGUACUACUCAAGACCCACGUGGGACAGCGACCUCUGGAUUGGAAGCCAAGAUGAUGCUGGGGAAAUCGCACAAUUCUCAGUGGCACCCUCUCAUCCAGCACCUGACCUACUGAGACUGAAGGACAAGCAGGCAACCCCCUUCUGAAGAAGCCAUCACCUUGAAGGAAGCUAUCCAUCAACAGCAGACUCUAGGGCCUCGGCUAGGUAGAUAUACUGACACCAGUGCUCUCACAAUCACUACAGCAGCCACUACACACUAUACUACAUGGGUUUGAAUGAAUGCGUGUGUGUGUGUGUGUGCGCGUGCGCGCGCAUGCACGCGUGCGUGCAUGCGCUAAGGUGACCAGUACCACCCAUAACUCAAAGUUUGCAUUUAUUUUAUUGGUAAGUUCACAUCCUGGCCAAUAAACUAGAAUUUAUUAUGAUCCCAUGAGUUGGUCCUUUGUAGCCAACACCUGCUCACCAAGCCUCUAGUGGCAAGUUGCAGCUGUGCCAGUGAAGUACAGUCAGAGCAGGGUUUUUGCUUUAACCUGCGACUCCUCCACUAAGUUGAACAACACUAAGCUUGUUAACAUUUAUUCAGCUUACAGUGAAACGUCUAAAAAGGCCCCGAGUACACAGGGAAAUUGUAACAGUUGAUGGUGGGAGGGCACAGUUUAAAGGCUGUGGUAUUAUGCAGUGAACUUCAGGGCAGGUACUCAAAAGACAACAGAGCUUUGAUUUCUAGAGCUACUUUUGAUGUCAUGUUUUGAAAUAAAACAGUGGUUUGUUAA